rnacentral:misc_RNA from 1 species
GAUGAAGAACGCAGCGAAAUGCGAUAAGUAAUGUGAAUUGCAGAAUUCAGUGAAUCAUCGAAUCUUUGAACGCUCAUUGCGACCGCCAGUAUUCUGGCGGGCAUGCCUGUUCGAGCGUCAUUUCAACCAUCAAGCCCCAGGCUUGUGUUGGGGACCUGCGGCUGCCGCAGGCCCUGAAAACCAGUGGCGGGCUCGCUGUCACACCGGGCGUAGUAGCAUACAUCUCGCUCUGGGCGUGCUGCGGGUUCCGGCCGUUAAACCACCUUCAUAACCCAAGGUUGACCUCGGAUCAGGUAGGAAGACCCGCUGAACUUAAGCAUAUCAAUAAGCGGAGGA